rnacentral:rRNA from 1 species
CGUUUAGGGGUAAACCUGAGAAACCCGAAAGGUCGAAGGGUGAAAUUCAUUCGCGUUUCACGAUAGGAGUCUGGUGGUGUUGUGUGACGAAGGACGUUCGCGUCUUACGCGCCCGCUAUCAGUCGAACCGGUUGUGAACGCGUGCACUUUUCACCUGGUAGGACGUCGCGAUUCGUUGGGCGUCGGUCUACGGUAGGUGGUGGAGCCCGUUUGUCGUCUUCACGGACGUGUACGAACGAACCCGCCUUACCUGGCCGACUGGCUCGACGGUAUCCGAACGGUUAAUGGCCGCUUCUUUGUGGAGCGUUUGACUCGAGGCAAGCACGUUAGAUUUAGUUGGUGAUCGGACCUGGUGCCGAUUCUGACUGCUAGCGACUGUUGGCCGCGAUGUUUUCAAACAGACCAUUUCAUCAAAACCGAUCAGCGACGCUAUAGCUUUGGGUACUUUCAGGACCCGUCUUGAAACACGGACCAAGGAGUCUAGCAUGUGCGCAAGUCAUUGGGAUUAAACAAAACCUAAAGGCGUAAUGAAAGUAAAGGUUUUCCUUGCGAAGACCGAGGGAAGACGGGUGGUUUACCCUUAAAAGUGGCCACCUCGCAUUCCCGGGGCGUCUCAUUCUCAUUGCGAGAGGAGGCGCACCAAGAGCGUACACGCUGGGACCCGAAAGAUGGUGAACUAUGCCUGGU